AAAAAGAUUAUCAAAAAUUUUAAAAAAGUAUAUCGAUUUAUUUAAUCAGAAGAGGAAAAUCGUUAUUGAGAGAGUGAUUUUAUUUUAACGUCGGUCUCAAAAUUUUCAAAUUCGCUGAUCUAUCAGCAAUUUUAUUCAUAUUUUUUUCACUUUUUUAAAUAAAAUCGCUGCCCAAACAGUAUUUUAAGCAAAUUUUAAUUUUAUAAAGAAAAAAAAUUGGAUAAUCGCUGCUUCGCGGCGAUUUCUGCGUAAGUGGUGCUUUUUUUUUUUUUUUAUGAUUGCUGCCAUUGCUGCCUUGGGCAAAAGAAAAUUAUUUAAAUAUAUAUAUAUAUAUAUGCCAAUAAUUUUUUAACAAAUUAUUUAAUGUUGGUAAUUUUUUUAAAAAAUAAUUAAAAUCAGCCUUUAUUUAAAAAAAAGUUCUUUUAAAUUAAAAAAAAAAACGCUUUUAGUAAAUAUUUCUGUAAAAAAUAUCGUUGUCAAUUAUUUUGUUAAAAAAUUCAUAUUAAAUAUUGGUAAAUUUUUUUAAAUUUUGAUCAAAAUAAAAAUUGUAUUACAAUUCUCAGUGCUAAAUUUAAAAAAUUACAAUUGUAGCGUAUGUAUAUUAAAAAAAUAAAUUAAAAAGGCAGCGUUUUAGUGAAUUCUUUUUCUUGUCCGUAAUUUUCUUGAUUUUUCUAAAUAAAAGAUCGCAGCUUGGUGAAACUUUUUUUUUUAAAAAAAUAAAUCAGUGCCAAUCUUUUUUCUUAAAAUCGUAAAUUAUUUUCUUAAAAGAAUUAUCAACAUUUAAUAUGAUUUUCUUUAAAAAAUUGGCAGCUAUAAAUUAUAAUUUUAUGGAAAUUCGAUAACUAAAACAGCAGCUAAGAUUUAAAAAGAAAAAGAAAAAGAAAUCCACAGAAAAUAGCUGCCAAUAAAAUUAUCACUUAAAUCGGUGCAGUAGCAGCGAUUUAAAAAAAAUAUUUUUUAUAGAAAUGCUGCAGUAGCAGUGAUUUUACUUUCGCUAUUAGUAUAGACUAAUGAUGUGAAAACAAAAUCGCUAAUCAAUAGCGAUUUUGCCCUUUUGGUUAAAAGUUGAUGUAUCCCUUUAGAAUUUUUAAAUUUUUUUUUGCUCUUUAGGCUUCGAACUCAGUUAAAUAGGCUCAUUUCAUUAAUAUGAGCUGAAAUUGUUAUUUAUACCCUCAACAUUCUCAUCUUUACAAUAGUACCUCAUUACAUACAAUAUAAUCAGUUUAACUAUCGCUAUAGAAAUUACCUUUAAAUUUUAAUGAGAUCUUUCUAUCACACAAGAUUGAAUUUUAAAAUUUUUAAGAACUUUGCUUUAUUUAUUAAAUUUCGUACCAAAUCAAAUUAUCAUAAAUAAAAUGAAUUAAGAAGUAAUAAUCUUUUCUUUUAAAGCCAAUAUUGACCACUUGGACAAAAAAGUCUGCAAAAGAUUAACAACCUCACAAAAUGUAUUGACAAACAAGAAACAAGUUGCUCAAGCAUCGUGUUUUCUGCCGCAAAAAAUGUCAUAUAUGUGUCCUAUCUCCUAAGCUUGGUUACAAAACAUGAACAAUCGAAAACAACAAACUAAAACUGAUUUUCUAAUCCAGCUCACUACAUUAUAUGCAUCUUGUGACUCGAAAUGCGUUUGGGUUUGUCCUUUUCUUUCUUUUGUUGCUAUUAAUAAGUUCAACUACAGAAAAGGUAUCCAUCCUUUUAUACUUUUUUUUUUAUAUAAAAUAAAUAAAAUAAUGUUAACCAGUUCUUUCUAGUAACGAAAGUAUAGACGUAGCCUAGUCUAAUACAUACAUAUUCAUAAUUCCUCCACAAACUGUACUUUAAGUUUUAUCUAUUCGAGAAAUUUUAAUAGCUAAAUUAAUUGAUCAUUUGAUAUAACUUUUAUCUGAUCAAUGAGAAUGCGAUUCUCAUCUUGUUAUUAAUUCCCUUUGCUCGGUCCAUUUAUUUCCCAAUAUAAAUCGGCUGAAUUCGUACUUGGUUCAUAUAUUUGAGACCAAACCAAUAUUAUUUAUUACAAGUUGCAGAUCAACCAGUUGUUACUAUCGGUUGAGCAGGACUAACUACUCACUGAUCUAUGCAAAAUUGAUAUCUAUUGUUGGAUAGUAUUGCAAGAAUUGAUAGGAAAUAGAGGGGAAAAAAAAACUUAAAAGUUGCGAAUUUGAAUCUUAUACUUUAACGAAAAAGACAUUUGUCCCUCAUCGAUGGUGGAAAGUAAAAUAGGAGAGUUUAAAUAUAGAAACACUCCUAUCAAUAGUUAAAAGGGUUGAAAAGAGAGACCCCUUUCCGUCAUUGCUUGGCUUUGGCUAUGACUAUGGAUGAUCAAGAUAUGUUUUUUAGACAAAGUUUGUUUUAAUUAUUUAAUUAAUUAAAUUAAAAGUCCAAAAAUAUUUUUAAUUAAUUAAUUGACGUUUUAAGUUAAAAUACUUAACCAAAACGUUUCAAUUUUUUAGUUGAUUAACCCGAUCUAACUCAGAUCCGCGCGCGACCCAUUUUAUUUGAACUUUUCCAUUUUAUUUAAAAUUUCUGCCAUGAAUGUUCUGAAAGGUUGCAACUUUCAGGAACAGUUAGUACCAUUUGAAAGGUUGCAAACUUUCAUUAAUGGUUGUGUGGAUUCUAAAAGGGUUGCGACCUUUCGGAACCAAUUAUUCUUACCUAUAAAUAUCAUUCAUUCUUCGGAAUAUUUCCUUACGAAUUUUCUAAUUUUCUUCUUCUUCUUCUGCACUGAUGUCAGCGAACCAAUCAACAGCAGAAGUUUUUGAUAUUUUCAAACCUCGAAUAUUAGAGGAGAAUAAUUUGCUUAAGGGGACACUGUGAGUUCAGUGGAGUUGAUCUUUUUCCUAUUUAAAAGUUUUUCCAUAGUCUGAUACGUUUUAUAAAUUUUAGUUUUUUAUUGUGAAUUAAAUUUCUGUUCAUCUCUUUUACUGAUUUAAUAAAUUUUAAUUACUUAAUGUUUCUGAAAAAAUUUAUUAUAAUCAUUAAUUUCAAUUUUUCUAACACAAAUUGACAACAUCUAUAACGUUAUUGUCUCAAUGUCAAUGAUUCCAUUUGAUUUGAUGUAAAGCAAACAUAUUUGAAUGCGCGUUUGUUUGCAACAUAUCUUGAUCCUAUAAAAAAUGACUGUAAUUAGAAAUAAAUAUAAUUCGAUUAAUUUUUUUAUUCUUCUCUUUUUAUUAUUUUCGUGAUUCAAGAGCUACAAUGUCUGAAUCGACUAGGAUGACGUAGGUCGCCGCAAAGAGAGGACUUUGGAUUUCUUAUUUGUCAAGAAGAAUCUGAUCACAUCUUAAUCUUUAAUAUUUUUUGAUUUUAAGUAAGAUCUUAUAAAUUUUUAUUUUGAAAAAUGUAUUCGACUGUUUUAGAAAUUGUUAACGUUAUACUAUCAGCAGCAUAUAGUUAUCUUAUAGAGAAUUAAGUCGUUUUUAUCUAAUUGAGUGUAUUGAUUAGAAUAUUAUUGUCUACUCAUACUAUUUCAAUAUCACUUUCAAUUUGUAAAACAAGUCUUCAAUGUUGGAAUGAGUCUUUUGUCUUAAUAAUGCCAAAGAAAAUAAAUACUUUUUUAGCUUUUUAUUGUUGUGCGAGAUAUGCGGUGAGGCACUCUAAAUGAUUUGCAUCAUGGUCAUCGUAUCAAAAUCACUUUUAUUUAUUAUGUUCAGUGUCAAUAUUGUACGUUUUACUUUGCCCGUGCUUCAUUGGCUUUACCCAAAAGCUCGAAUUAUAGAAUAUCUAUAAGAGGUGGCUCAUGGCUGUGCAGUGUACAGUGAGUGUCGUUUACUGGCUCUCAGUAACACCCAAAAAAUGUUCAACUUUAUACUAUUUCAUAUUUAUGUCUACAAUCACUCCAUCGGCCCCACAGAUUAUUACUUUGAUUUCCUAUACAAUUUGGCUUCUUUCUUUAAAAUGAAACAACGACAGAAAAUAAAUAUAUUCGGACUUGGCAUAAACAUUAUUUAGUUACGUAUUUGGCAUAAAAAUCAAAUUAGAUCCAUACACCUUUAAAAAAAAGAAAAAAAAAAGACAUAACAUGUCAUUACUGGAGGCAUAAUUGUGUUAUUUAUUAUCUCUUUUCCAACAAAUAUAUACAUUGUGCGAGACUAAUGCAUACAAAAUCAUUGGUUUGGUUACUGUCACGAGUUCCAAGAUUAAUUAUUAUGCAAACAAAACCUUUUUGGAUUUUUUUUACUAUAAAGUAUCGAAAGCAAAGAAGUAUUUCCACUAUCUCUUAAACACAGUCUAUAUUGUUCAACUCUUAUCAAUACCCACUGUUCAUUGACAUGGAGUAAGAUGACGACUUCCUUCAAUAACAAUGUAAGUGAUAAAGAAGCUCAGCACUCGUGCUUCGAAGAAUGGAUGGAGCUCCAACAACAAGACCUCUUGGAGCUUAUUCACAAUUCCGACUCCUCGUCAUCGUCCAGCACCUCUAACACUAGCGCCAGCAGUGACUUCAACCUAAAACAACUCAUUGAGAAAUCCAUCAAACACUUCCAAGAAUACAUUGACACCCGCAGACAUUUGGCGUGUAGUGAUGUCACUGCCUACCUUGCACCAACUUGGUGCACCACGCUAGAAAGCUCCAUGCUUUGGAUCUCCGGAUGCAGGCCUUCCAGUUACAUCCGUCUCCUUUAUGCGAUGAGUGGCAAAGAAUUUGAAUCCCAUCUCUCCAACUAUCUCCAAGGCAAUAGAUCCGGACACCUCAGCGGGCUCUUGACCGUGCAGCUGAACUCAGUGGAUGAGUUACAGAGGAAGACAAUAAGGCAAGAAGAUCAGUUGUCAAAUAAGCUCGCCAGCUUGCAGGAGGAGAUAGCUGAUCAGCCAUUUGCCAUUAUCGCCAAUGAAGUGGGAAAUCCUGGUGAAAUAUGUCGUGAAGCAGAGGAGGCCCUUGAUAGACAUGCUAAGUUUUUGGUGAAUGUUGUAGAAGAAGCUGAUAAGCUGAGGAUGGUGACUUUGAAGGAGCUGAUCAACAUACUGAGUCCACUUCAAGCUGUGGAUUUUCUCAUAGCUAGCAAGAAGCUCCAUCUUUGUGUCAAUGCUUGGGGUAAAAAAAGAGAUCAUCAGCAUGGGAGGAACAGAGAAACAAAACAAGAGAGGAACACAUGUCCAACUUUAUCUGGUCUUAAAAAUUAAAAUAAGGGAGUUAAACCGCUUAUGUUAUAUAGAAUAAAUGUUUUGUUAUUACUAAGUCGGCAUUAUUUUACCACUUCUUUCCAAUCUUUUAUGUUCUAGUGAAACUACCGAUGAAGCUUAAAAAGACGUUGAUCUACAGCAAUAACUUUCUUAACAUUUGAAUCUUAAAAUAGAGAGGAAAGUAGUUUCUUUGACGGGAAAAUAACAAUGAUCAACUAACAUCGACUAACAACACUUAACCUUCAAUUAAUCAAAUUCUAUGAUUUUGAACCAAUCACUAACAGAAGUCCAAAACAGUAACAAACAUUUUAAUCCUAUGAAGCGCAAAACUGGGUGUCACAACGCCUAGAUGAAAACAUAAAUCACUAAGGAAGUAGGAAAAGAUCCAGGGGUUGCCUGAGGCCCUGAGAGCCGGGAUGCUUGCCCUUGAAGAUGAAGUAAACAUGGUCGUGGGUAUGAAUGAACACUUUGCCCUAAUUGGUUGGGGGUACGCAGGAGCUUAGUAGUUGCUAAGACGUUCAAAAGUUGGACAUUUCUGAAAUUGACAUUCCCCAAUGUGGGGAUAAACUUGAAACACUUGCACACUUUCAAAAAUUGUCGAGAAUAGAGAAAACAAUAUGACAAGGCAAGGAGUAGCAGAAACAAAAUUGUUCAUCUUUGCAUACAUGUAUAUUUGUAUACAGAAUUCAAGUUUUAUCUACUGAAACUACAAAAAAAUUCUUUUACACCAUUAGUGCACUCUUACUGAUCCAAACUGUUGUCCACUAUCUUUUGUAAGUUACAAACUAAUACACACUGCAUUCACUUGCUCUCACAUAGACAUUUAAGUGUUCUAAACUUCCAUGUAAUAAUUAAUAUACAGUUAGUGCAUGAAACUUAAAACUGUUAUCUUAUAUUAUGGGAGCAAAUGAAUCAACACUCUGAAGAUAACAAUUCCCUACACUCGAAGAUGCCCAAGAUUUGGUAGAAAUCUAUUAAAUGUAUGUGUGCAGUGCAGUUUCAGUUUAAAUUGGAAUUGAAUCUGUUUCUUCAUGCUCUCUAUAUCCUAAAGCACAGUUUUUCAACAAAAUAGCUUCUUUCACUUCAUAAAAAAUCCAGAAAACAAACUGCAAUACAUGGAUAUGCAGUUCGAAAAGUAUUGUUUGCAACAAGUGAUUUUCAAUAAUAAAUAAAAUUCAAAACUAAUCAAUGCACAUAAAUCGAAAUCCAGCAAACUUUAUGGCUUACAUCGAAUGAGUAAUUCGUAUCAAAAUCAGACCUGUUGCGUAUGAGCAGAUAGAGAGAGUAGAGCUGUAACAAUGGCAGUCUUCAGCAGCAUUACCCAAAAUGCUUGUAAGAUUAUAGAGAUACCGAAAAGGGAUUGAGGAAGAACGGGUUGGGUUUUUGGGAGUGCGUUUUUCUCUCAGUAACACCCAAAAAAUGUUAAUUUAUAUUUUCAUAUUAUGUCUACAAUAUUAUCGGCCCCACAGAUUAUUACUUUGAUCCAAUACAAUUUGGCUUCUUUCUUUAAAAUGAAACAACGAAGAAAAUAAAUAUAUUCGGACUUGGCAUAAUUAUUUAUUUAGUAUAUGGCAUAAAAAUCAAAUUAGAUCCAUACACCUUUAAAAAAAAAAAAAAAAGACAUAACAUGUCAUUACUGGAGGCAUAAUUGUGUUAUUUAUUAUCUCUUUUCCAACAAAUAUAUACAUUGUGCGAGACUAAUGCAUACAAAAUCAUUGGUUUGGUUACUGUCACGAGUUCCAAGAUUAAUUAUUAUGCAAACAAAACCUUUUUGGAUUUUUUUUACUAUAAAGUAUCGAAAGCAAAGAAGUAUUUCCACUAUCUCUUAAACACAGUCUAUAUUGUUCAACUCUUAUCAAUACCCACUGUUCAUUGACAUGGAGUAAGAUGACGACUUCCUUCAAUAACAAUGUAAGUGAUAAAGAAGCUCAGCACUCGUGCUUCGAAGAAUGGAUGGAGCUCCAACAACAAGACCUCUUGGAGCUUAUUCACAAUUCCGACUCCUCGUCAUCGUCCAGCACCUCUAACACUAGCGCCAGCAGUGACUUCAACCUAAAACAACUCAUUGAGAAAUCCAUCAAACACUUCCAAGAAUACAUUGACACCCGCAGACAUUUGGCGUGUAGUGAUGUCACUGCCUACCUUGCACCAACUUGGUGCACCACGCUAGAAAGCUCCAUGCUUUGGAUCUCCGGAUGCAGGCCUUCCAGUUACAUCCGUCUCCUUUAUGCGAUGAGUGGCAAAGAAUUUGAAUCCCAUCUCUCCAACUAUCUCCAAGGCAAUAGAUCCGGACACCUCAGCGGGCUCUUGACCGUGCAGCUGAACUCAGUGGAUGAGUUACAGAGGAAGACAAUAAGGCAAGAAGAUCAGUUAUCAAAUAAGCUCGCCAGCUUGCAGGAGGAGAUAGCUGAUCAGCCAUUUGCCAUUAUCGCCAAUGAAGUGGGAAAUCCUGGUGAAAUAUGUCGUGAAGCAGAGGAGGCCCUUGAUAGACAUGCUAAGUUUUUGGUGAAUGUUGUAGAAGAAGCUGAUAAGCUGAGGAUGGUGACUUUGAAGGAGCUGAUCAACAUACUGAGUCCACUUCAAGCUGUGGAUUUUCUCAUAGCUAGCAAGAAGCUCCAUCUUUGUGUCAAUGCUUGGGGUAAAAAAAGAGAUCAUCAGCAUGGGAGGAACAGAGAAACAAAACAAGAGAGGAACACAUGUCCAACUUUAUCUGGUCUUAAAAAUUAAAAUAAGGGAGUUAAACCGCUUAUGUUAUAUAGAAUAAAUGUUUUGUUAUUACUAAGUCGGCAUUAUUUUACCACUUCUUUCCAAUCUUUUAUGUUCUAGUGAAACUACCGAUGAAGCUUAAAAAGACGUUGAUCUACAGCAAUAACUUUCUUAACAUUUGAAUCUUAAAAUAGAGAGGAAAGUAGUUUCUUUGACGGGAAAAUAACAAUGAUCAACUAACAUCGACUAACAACACUUAACCUUCAAUUAAUCAAAUUCUAUGAUUUUGAACCAAUCACUAACAGAAGUCCAAAACAGUAACAAACAUUUUAAUCCUAUGAAGCGCAAAACUGGGUGUCACAACGCCUAGAUGAAAACAUAAAUCACUAAGGAAGUAGGAAAAGAUCCAGGGGUUGCCUGAGGCCCUGAGAGCCGGGAUGCUUGCCCUUGAAGAUGAAGUAAACAUGGUCGUGGGUAUGAAUGAACACUUUGCCCUAAUUGGUUGGGGGUACGCAGGAGCUUAGUAGUUGCUAAGACGUUCAAAAGUUGGACAUUUCUGAAAUUGACAUUCCCCAAUGUGGGGAUAAACUUGAAACACUUGCACACUUUCAAAAAUUGUCGAGAAUAGAGAAAACAAUAUGACAAGGCAAGGAGUAGCAGAAACAAAAUUGUUCAUCUUUGCAUACAUGUAUAUUUGUAUACAGAAUUCAAGUUUUAUCUACUGAAACUACAAAAAAAAUUCUUUUACACCAUUAGUGCACUCUUACUGAUCCAAACUGUUGUCCACUAUCUUUUGUAAGUUACAAACUAAUACACACUGCAUUCACUUGCUCUCACAUAGACAUUUAAGUGUUCUAAACUUCCAUGUAAUAAUUAAUAUACAGUUAGUGCAUGAAACUUAAAACUGUUAUCUUAUAUUAUGGGAGCAAAUGAAUCAACACUCUGAAGAUAACAAUUCCCUACACUCGAAGAUGCCCAAGAUUUGGUAGAAAUCUAUUAAAUGUAUGUGUGCAGUGCAGUUUCAGUUUAAAUUGGAAUUGAAUCUGUUUCUUCAUGCUCUCUAUAUCCUAAAGCACAGUUUUUCAACAAAAUAGCUUCUUUCACUUCAUAAAAAAUCCAGAAAACAAACUGCAAUACAUGGAUAUGCAGUUCGAAAAGUAUUGUUUGCAACAAGUGAUUUUCAAUAAUAAAUAAAAUUCAAAACUAAUCAAUGCACAUAAAUCGAAAUCCAGCAAACUUUAGGGCUUACAUCGAAGGAGUAAUUCGGAAGAAGCAGACCUGUUGCGUAUGAGCAGAUAGAGAGAGAGAGCUGUAACAAUGGCAGUCCGCAGCAGCAUUAGAAAAAUGUUUGUAAGAAAAUAGAGAUACCGAAAAGGGAUUGAGGAAGAACGGGUUGGGUUUUUGGGCCUGCCUUUUUCUUUCAUUACUGAUAUUAAUGAUAAUUUAAUUUUAUUAUUAUGUAUAGUAAUAUUAUGAACUUGCAAUAAAUCAAAAGACAUUAAGCAUGCAAGAAAACCGUAUUAUGAAUAUUUUAAGAUAUAUAUUUGUUUGGUAAUUAGAUAUUUAGAAUAUAUAUUAUAAGUGGAUAAUAAAUGUAUUAGUUAUGAAUAAAAUAUGUAGUAUAUAUAUUUUAUGAAUUGUUUUUUGUUAUACAUAUAAAACUUAUAAAAUAAGUGUUUACUAAAAAAAAAUGUUAUUACUAUAGAUCGUUCAAAUUUCUUAAUAUGAUAUAUCCAUAUGAAUUUUUCAAAAAUAUAAAGAAGACUUUAUCUCAUAUUUAUGCUUUCAAAUUUUCAAUGAACAUAAGUCUAUCUUUGUACAAAAUAAAAUUGGUAAUAAUUGAAGUUAUUUAAUAAAAAUUAAAAUGGCCAUUCAAUUCAAUUUGUCCUAGUUGGACUUCAAACUCAACAAUCUUUUCUUUUGUUUUUCAAAUAUCAUCAAUCUCCAUUGUACUCAAUUAAUUUAAGCUAAUGACCUCAGUUCUCCAUAGAUUGAAUCUAGAGAAGACGGAAAUCAGUUUAGAGAAGAUAUUAGUAUUUUGUAUUCACUUAAUCAUAUUACUUUAUAAUGAUAUGAUAUCGUUAGUGAUGCUAGCUAAUAUUUCUCUGCUGUACUCAAGUUAUUAGUAGGAUACUAUAUUUUUUUCUUCUUUUGACCGUGUUAUCAAAAUACCAAUUGUUUGUUUUUGUUUACAUGUUAUUUGAAUCAAAUCAUCGGGUGCAAAGUCUGUGGAAGACUAAUCUUGCAAACUUCUCCUCGCUUCUCUUAGACAUUAUCACCACAAUCCACAUAUCCUCCGUUGAAACUUAAAAAUUUAUGAUCGAUACUCAAUACAUAUUUGAGUUUUUAAACUUGUCAUUUUUUACUUAGAACACUCAAAGUAAAUCUCGUUUCAACUUAAAUUAUUUUGGUGUAUGUUCAUAUUUGUCUAUUAAAUAUUUAAACUAAUUACAUUAAUUAUAUUAUUUUCUUUAAUUAUAUGCAUAUGUCUUACGAAUAUAAUAGAUUUUAAAUAUUUUUUUGUGUUUUUAUUUUUUCAUAUUUUUAAACACUUAAUGAUAAUUUAAACCGUCUCAAAAACAAUUUAUCAAUAUUCAUGCCACAGAGAUUAGUUGAAUUAACUAUUGUUAUAAUAUCAAUUAAUAUAAUAUAAGCAUGACCUUUAAACUUUAAAUGAAAUGCAUAUCUCUUAUCUAAACGUGCACGACGACGAAAUUGAGGAAAGAAUAAUGGAGAGGAGUCAAAUAUUGCCAUGCACAAUUCAAAACUCCAAAAACAUAAGUUGAAAAAAAAAACAUGACCCAAAUGAGUCAGAUAUGUUCCAAUUUCCAUGACUUGUCACUCAGUAUGACUAGAUCCGAUUAAUGUAGUGCUUUGUACAUACUUGGUGUUUGUGUAUUUAGUUGUGGUCAAUGAUCUCCGACUUUAUUAGCAACAUUAACAUGUGGCUGCAACGUGUAACCCUUCUUCUUGACACGUUUCAUUGUCAUUACCUACACCUUCUCUACAUGCAUUCUCUCUCUUUUCCAAAAUUGCCUCUUCACUCUUAUUAAACAUCACCAACCUUCACUUCGACCAUUCAUUCUAUAACUGUAAAAAUACAUUUCAUUUAAUGACAUUUUGAUUAAUAUGAAAUAGCCAGAGUACUACUUUACACGCUAAAACCUAAUAUUUAUCACUGAUAUAAAGAUCAUAUUUAAAAAGUAAAUAAUUUGAUCAAUAUAAAAUUAAUAGACAAUUUUACACUUGUUAAUUUACUUGUAUAAUCAUUUUUUAUUAUAUAUUUAAAUAGCGAUAAAAUUAAAAUUACUUUUUCAUUUAUAAUUUUUUUCAAAAUCAACCGUGUACAAAGAUGGUAUAACCGUGGGAGCAGAAGUUAAAUUGGUUCCCCCACUACCCAAGUUCAUUAAAUAGUUGCGCGUAAGGCAUGCAGAGGUGUCGAAGCCACGCAACCUUUUGUAGCAUUGCCACUUGUUUUCUCGCUCUAUAUAUUUUACUCUGUUUUUUCUUGGCAGUUAAUUAAUUAGUGCAUUAUUCUUCUCAUAUACAACUACUACGAUUAUCAAAAAUGACGAGCCAAGUAGCGGAAAACUUCACAAAAUACUUUGAAAAUUGGAUGAUCCAACUUGAAGAGUUGCUGAAACAACUCGUUAUUGUACCUAGGGAGACGUCAUACGUGAAUGAUCACGAGUUAUUGGUGAGUAAAAUGACGACACAUCACAAGAACUACUACACAGCCAAAUGGGCCGCAGCUCAUGAAGACAUCUUAGCAUUUUUCACUCCAAUGUGGCUUAGUCCUUUAGAAAUCGUCUACUCGUGGAUCACAGGGUGGAAGCCUUCCAUGGCGUUUCGAUUAGUGAGUGGCGGUGGAGGAGCGUUUUCGGAUGAGGAAUUGAAGAAUAUUGAUGGUUUGAGGGUGAAAAUUCGCGGAGAGGAAGAGAAAGUGGAGAGGGAAAUGGAGAGGCAACAGGUUGCAAUUGGGGAUAGAAAAAUGGUGGAAUUAGCAAGGAUUAGAAAUGAUAAUGAUGAGUUGGUAGAAUUGGCGUUGAAAGGGUUAAGGAUGAGUUUAGAAAGGGUUAUGAAAAUGGCAGAUUGUGUUAGGCUUAAAACGUUGAAAGGUUUGUUGGAGAUAUUGAGUCCUUUACAGAGUGUUGAUUUCUUGGCUGCUAUUUCUACUAUUCAAAUUCAGAUGAGGAAAAGGGGAAGAAAAAGAAUAAAUGUUGAUUAGCUUAGCUAGUCUCCAGAUUUUAUUUUGUGAUUGUGUCAAUUUCCUUUUAUUGGAACGGCUUUUUUUUUUUAAAUUAGCUUGCUUUGAGUAGACUCUUAUAUUUUGGGAGCAAAUGAAUCAACACUCUGAAGAUAACAAUUCUCUACACUCGAAGAUGCCCAACAUUUGGUAGAAAUCUGCAGUAUUAGUUUAAAUCGGAACUGAAUAUAUUUCUUCAUCCUCUCUAAUAUUAUAAUACAUAGUAACAACUUCGUUUCACUUCGAAAAGUAUUGUUUUCAACAAGUGAUUUUCAGUAUUAAAUAAAAUUCAAAACUAAUCAAUGCACAUAAAUCGAAAUCCAGCAAACUUUAGGGCUUAUAUCGAAGGAAUAAUUUGGAAGAAGCAUAUCUGUUGCGGAUGAGGAGAGAGAGAGAGCUGUAACAAUGGCAGUCUGCAGCAGCAUUAGAAAAAUGUUUGUAAGAAAGCCAUGAGAUUCCGAAAAGGGAUUGAGGAAGAACGGGUUGGGUUUUUGGGCCUGCCUUUUUCUUUCAUUUUCGGAAAAAUCACUUAGUUCAGUAAAUAAUAUAACAAAUAUUUACCCAUUUUAGCAAUAUUUUACUUUUAUUAUUAUUAUUAUUAUUAUUAUUAUGUAUUGCAAUACAUAAUAAUAUUCUGAAUUUAAAGUGAUUUUGUAUGCAAGACACAUGUAUUGUGAAUAUUUUAAAAUAUAUGUCUCAUUGCUAAUUAGAUAUUGACAAAAAUAUAUUAUACUUUAUAAGGAUGUGAUAAAUAUACUACUUAUGAAAAGAAUUGUAUUACCUGUAUUUUAUAAAUUAUUUUGUGUAAUAUAUAUAAAAAUUAUAUAGUAAGUGUCCACUAAGAUUGCUACGUAACAAUUUCUUAAGUAGGUAAUAAAAUUCGCUUCGAGAAAAUAAUAAUCAGAAACGGAAAAUUAUAGCAACAAUCGAUUUUAUUAUUUCAAAUGCCAGUGUAACAAUUUCUAUGAUUCCUCUGAAUUUGCCUUUUCAAAUAUAAAUUCGAGCUUGUUCUUGAAUUCGAUGGUCUUGAUCUUGAUCGUUCUUGAACUUGAAUUCUUAAACUUGUAGCUUUGUAGAGAAUUAAAUGACGUUUGUACCACAAAUUUUCUCUAGCUUCUUGUGUAUAAUUUUCUUUGUCCCCUUUUUAUGAAUUAUGAGACCUCUAUUUAUAGUUUUAGAAUAGAGGAGUUGCCAUUAGAACAGGACUCCCUUCGGCCAAUCAGAUUUAAGCCUUUUAAUUUUUUUUUUUUAUUUCCCUCUCGAUAUCGUACCCAUAUUUAAAAGAAAAAGAAUUCCUAAUUUUAAUAAUACAAUACCGUGAAAUUAUAAGAUAACAAAAAAAUAUCCUCUUCCCUAUCUUUGGUAAGGUAAAAUACAUAAAUAAAAAAUUUGGCUGCCAAUUAAAUUAGGCUUAAAAUUUGGUAAACACAUGGCUUAACAUAUGUCAAUUCUAUAUAUAAAUAUGAGUUAAAUAGGAGUUUGAAGUCUAAAGGGUAAAAAAGAUUAUCAAAAAUUUUAAAAAAGUAUAUCGAUUUAUUUAAUCAGAAGAGGAAAAUCGUUAUUGAGAGAGUGAUUUUAUUUUAACGUCGGUCUCAAAAUUUUCAAAUUCGCUGAUCUAUCAGCAAUUUUAUUCAUAUUUUUUUCACUUUUUUAAAUAAAAUCACUGCCCAAACAGUCUUUUAAGCAAAUUUUAAUUUUAUAAAGAAAAAAAAUUGGAUAAUCGCUGCUUCGCGGCGAUUUCUGCGUAAGUGGUGCUUUUUUUUUUUUUUUUAUGAUUGCUGCCAUUGCUGCCUUGGGCAAAAGAAAAUUAUUUAAAUAUAUAUAUAUAUAUAUGCCAAUAAUUUUUUAACAAAUUAUUUAAUGUUGGUAAUUUUUUUAAAAAAUAAUUAAAAUCAGCCUUUAUUUAAAAAAAAGUUCUUUUAAAUUAAAAAAAAAAACGCUUUUAGUAAAUAUUUCUGUAAAAAAUAUCGUUGUCAAUUAUUUUGUUAAAAAAUUCAUAUUAAAUAUUGGUAAAUUUUUUUAAAUUUUGAUCAAAAUAAAAAUUGUAUUACAAUUCUCAGUGCUAAAUUUAAAAAAUUACAAUUGUAGCGUAUGUAUAUUAAAAAAAUAAAUUAAAAAGGCAGCGUUUUAGUGAAUUCUUUUUCUUGUCCGUAAUUUUCUUGAUUUUUCUAAAUAAAAGAUCGCAGCUUGGUGAAACUUUUUUUUUUAAAAAAAUAAAUCAGUGCCAAUCUUUUUUCUUAAAAUCGUAAAUUAUUUUCUUAAAAGAAUUAUCAACAUUUAAUAUGAUUUUCUUUAAAAAAUUGGCAGCUAUAAAUUAUAAUUUUAUGGAAAUUCGAUAACUAAAACAGCAGCUAAGAUUUAAAAAGAAAAAGAAAAAGAAAUCCACAGAAAAUAGCUGCCAAUAAAAUUAUCACUUAAAUCGGUGCAGUAGCAGCGAUUUAAAAAAAAUAUUUUUUAUAGAAAUGCUGCAGUAGCAGUGAUUUUACUUUCGCUAUUAGUAUAGACUAAUGAUGUGAAAACAAAAUCGCUAAUCAAUAGCGAUUUUGCCCUUUUGGUUAAAAGUUGAUGUAUCCCUUUAGAAUUUUUAAAUUUUUUUUUGCUCUUUAGGCUUCGAACUCAGUUAAAUAGGCUCAUUUCAUUAAUAUGAGCUGAAAUUGUUAUUUAUACCCUCAACAUUCUCAUCUUUACAAUAGUACCUCAUUACAUACAAUAUAAUCAGUUUAACUAUCGCUAUAGAAAUUACCUUUAAAUUUUAAUGAGAUCUUUCUAUCACACAAGAUUGAAUUUUAAAAUUUUUAAGAACUUUGCUUUAUUUAUUAAAUUUCGUACCAAAUCAAAUUAUCAUAAAUAAAAUGAAUUAAGAAGUAAUAAUCUUUUCUUUUAAAGCCAAUAUUGACCACUUGGACAAAAAAGUCUGCAAAAGAUUAACAACCUCACAAAAUGUAUUGACAAACAAGAAACAAGUUGCUCAAGCAUCGUGUUUUCUGCCGCAAAAAAUGUCAUAUAUGUGUCCUAUCUCCUAAGCUUGGUUACAAAACAUGAACAAUCGAAAACAACAAACUAAAACUGAUUUUCUAAUCCAGCUCACUACAUUAUAUGCAUCUUGUGACUCGAAAUGCGUUUGGGUUUGUCCUUUUCUUUCUUUUGUUGCUAUUAAUAAGUUCAACUACAGAAAAGGUAUCCAUCCUUUUAUACUUUUUUUUUUAUAUAAAAUAAAUAAAAUAAUGUUAACCAGUUCUUUCUAGUAACGAAAGUAUAGACGUAGCCUAGUCUAAUACAUACAUAUUCAUAAUUCCUCCACAAACUGUACUUUAAGUUUUAUCUAUUCGAGAAAUUUUAAUAGCUAAAUUGAUUGAUCAUUUGAUAUAACUUUUAUCUGAUCAAUGAGAAUGCGAUUCUCAUCUUGUUAUUAAUUCCCUUUGCUCGGUCCAUUUAUUUCCCAAUAUAAAUCGGCUGAAUUCGUACUUGGUUCAUAUAUUUGAGACCAAACCAAUAUUAUUUAUUACAAGUUGCAGAUCAACCAGUUGUUACUAUCGGUUGAGCAGGACUAACUACUCACUGAUCUAUGCAAAAUUGAUAUCUAUUGUUGGAUAGUAUUGCAAGAAUUGAUAGGAAAUAGAGGGGAAAAAAAAACUUAAAAGUUGCGAAUUUGAAUCUUAUAUUUUAACGAAAAAGACAUUUGUCCCUCAUCGAUGGUGGAAAGUAAAAUAGGAGAGUUUAAAUAUAGAAACACUCCUAUCAAUAGUUAAAAGGGUUGAAAAGAGAGACCCCUUUCCGUCAUUGCUUGGCUUUGGCUAUGACUAUGGAUGAUCAAGAUAUGUUUUUUAGACAAAGUUUGUUUUAAUUAUUUAAUUAAUUAAAUUAAAAGUCCAAAAAUAUUUUUAAUUAAUUAAUUGACGUUUUAAGUUAAAAUACUUAACCAAAACGUUUCAAUUUUUUAGUUGAUUAACCCGAUCUAACUCAGAUCCGCGCGCGACCCAUUUUAUUUGAACUUUUCCAUUUUAUUUAAAAUUUCUGCCAUGAAUGUUCUGAAAGGUUGCAACUUUCAGGAACAGUUAGUACCAUUUGAAAGGUUGCAAACUUUCAUUAAUGGUUGUGUGGAUUCUAAAAGGGUUGCGACCUUUCGGAACCAAUUAUUCUUACCUAUAAAUAUCAUUCAUUCUUCGGAAUAUUUCCUUACGAAUUUUCUAAUUUUCUUCUUCUUCUUCUGCACUGAUGUCAGCGAACCAAUCAACAGCAGAAGUUUUUGAUAUUUUCAAACCUCGAAUAUUAGAGGAGAAUAAUUUGCUUAAGGGGACACUGUGAGUUCAGUGGAGUUGAUCUUUUUCCUAUUUAAAAGUUUUUCCAUAGUCUGAUACGUUUUAUAAAUUUUAGUUUUUUAUUGUGAAUUAAAUUUCUGUUCAUCUCUUUUACUGAUUUAAUAAAUUUUAAUUACUUAAUGUUUCUGAAAAAAUUUAUUAUAAUCAUUAAUUU
rnacentral:lncRNA from 1 species